rnacentral:pre_miRNA from 1 species
GAUUUCAGCUGAAAAAGUCAUCAACAACAAAGUUAUAUAACUCAUCAAGAUAUAUAACUUCUAUUUUGGUCAUUUCUUCGUCUGACAAAUAUAUUUGUAAGAUUGUUUGUAAAAUGUACAUCUCUCUUAUAGUUUUAUAAACUAUAUCUCUUAUAGUUUUAUAAACUAUAUAAGAUAUGUACAUUUUAUAAACAAUCUUACAAAUAAUUUUGUCGGAUGAAAAAAUGACCAAAAUAAAAGUUAUAGAUCUUGAUGAUUUAUACAACUUUGUUAUUGAUGAAUUUUUCAGUUGAAAUC